rnacentral:rRNA from 1 species
GAUGAACGCUAGCGGGAGGCCUAACACAUGCAAGCCGAGCGGUAGAGUUUCUUCGGAAACUUGAGAGCGGCGCACGGGUGCGUAACACGUGUGCAACCUACCUUUAUCUGGGGGAUAGCCUUUCGAAAGGAAGAUUAAUACCCCAUAAUAUAGUGAUUGGCAUCAAUUAUUAUUGAAAACUCCGGUGGAUAGAGAUGGGCACGCGCAAGAUUAGAUAGUUGGUGAGGUAACGGCUCACCAAGUCAAUGAUCUUUAGGGGUCCUGAGAGGGAGAUCCCCCACACUGGUACUGAGACACGGACCAGACUCCUACGGGAGGCAGCAGUGAGGAAUAUUGGACAAUGGGUGAGAGCCUGAUCCAGCCAUCCCGCGUGAAGGAUGACGGUCCUAUGGAUUGUAAACUUCUUUUGUACAGGGAUAAACCUACCCUCGUGAGGGUAGCUGAAGGUACUGUACGAAUAAGCACCGGCUAACUCCGUG